rnacentral:lncRNA from 1 species
CAAUGACCCAGAGCUGCAGGUGGAAUUCUACACUGGGACAAAUGAGGACUCAGACAUCGCCUUCCAUUUCUGAGUGCACUUUGGCCAUUGUCUGGCCAUUGGCAGCCAUGUGUG